GUGUCAGCAGCCGCGGUAAUACGUAGGGUGCAAGCGUUAAUCGGAAUUACUGGGCGUAAAGCGUGCGCAGGCGGUUAUGUAAGACAGAUGUGAAAUGCCCGGGCUUAACCUGGGAACUGCAUUUGUGACUGCAUGGCUAGAAUCUGGCAGAGGGGGGUAGAAUUCCACGUGUAGCAGUGAAAUGCGUAGAUAUGUGGAGGAAUACCGAUGGCGAAGGCAGCCCCCUGGGCUAAGAUUGACGCUCAUGCACGAAAGCGUGGGGAGCAAACAGGAUUAGAAACCCGAGUAGUCC
rnacentral:rRNA from 1 species